GACGAACGCUGGCGGCGUGCCUAAUACAUGCAAGUAGAACGCUGAAGGAGGAGCUUGCUCUUCUGGAUGGGUUGCGAACGGGUGAGUAACGCGUAGGUAACCUGCCUGGUAGCGGGGGAUAACUAUUGGAAACGAUAGCUAAUACCGCAUAAGAGUAGAUGUUGCAUGACAUUUGCUUAAAAGGUGCAAUUGCAUCACUACCAGAUGGACCUGCGUUGUAUUAGCUAGUUGGUGGGGUAACGGCUCACCAAGGCGACGAUACAUAGCCGACCUGAGAGGGUGAUCGGCCACACUGGGACUGAGACACGGCCCAGACUCCUACGGGAGGCAGCAGUAGGGAAUCUUCGGCAAUGGACGGAAGUCUGACCGAGCAACGCCGCGUGAGUGAAGAAGGUUUUCGGAUCGUAAAGCUCUGUUGUAAGAGAAGAACGAGUGUGAGAGUGGAAAGUUCACACUGUGACGGUAUCUUACCAGAAAGGGACGGCUAACUACGUG
rnacentral:rRNA from 1 species